AAAGCCACCAGAAACUAUUCCUGGACAGAGGAGGUUUUAUAGGUGUGGUUGGUCUCCUUACUGACGUGUCAACUACAAAUGCACAGGGUUCUGCCUGAAAUGUUUUAGUUGUUGCAGAUGUGUAGCUUCUAUAUGUAAAGUCUUCACUGCACGUGCUACAGAAACUUGAACUAUCUGAAGAGAGGAUGGAGUCAUCAGAUACUG
rnacentral:lncRNA from 1 species